rnacentral:rRNA from 1 species
GGAUAACCCGGAGAAAUCCGGCCUAAUACCGCAUGUGGCCGAGGGGAGGCAUCUUCUUUCGGCCAAAGGAGGCGACUCCGGAGACGGAUGGGCAUGCGUGACAUUAGCUUGUUGGCGGGGUAACGGCCCACCAAGGCGACGAUGUCUAGGGGUUCUGAGAGGAAGGUCCCCCACACUGGUACUGAGACACGGACCAGACUCCUACGGGAGGCAGCAGUGAGGAAUAUUGGUCAAUGGGCGAGAGCCUGAACCAGCCAAGUCGCGUGAAGGAUGACGGCCCUAUGGGUUGUAAACUUCUUUUGUCAGGGAGCAAUUGGGUCCACGCGUGGGCUUAGCGAGAGUACCUGAAGAAAAAGCAUCGGCUAACUCCGUGCCAGCAGCCGCGGUAAUACGGAGGAUGCGAGCGUUAUCCGGAUUUAUUGGGUUUAAAGGGUGCGUAGGCGGAAUAUCAAGUCAGCGGUAAAAAUUCGGGGCUCAACCCCGUCGUGCCGUUGAAACUGAUGUUCUUGAGUGGGCGAGAAGUAUGCGGAAUGCGUGGUGUAGCGGUGAAAUGCAUAGAUAUCACGCAGAACUCCGAUUGCGAAGGCAGCAUACCGGCGCCCAACUGACGCUGAAGCACGAAAGCGUGGGUAUCGAACAGGAUUAGAUACCCUGGUAGUCCACGCAGUAAACG